rnacentral:rRNA from 1 species
CAGUCGCCGCGGGAAAACGGAGGGUGCAAGCGUUAUCCGGAUUUAUUGGGUUUAAAGGGUCCGUAGGCGGACUUAUAAGUCAGUGGUGAAAGCCUGUCGCUUAACGAUAGAACUGCCAUUGAUACUGUAAGUCUUGAGUAUAUUUGAGGUAGCUGGAAUAAGUAGUGUAGCGGUGAAAUGCAUACAUAUUACUUAGAACACCAAUUGCGAAGGCAGGUUACCAAGAUAUAACUGACGCUGAGGGACGAAAGCGUGGGUAGCGAACAGGAUUAGAUACCCCUGUAGUCCCUGUCUCUUAUAC